AGGACGAACGCUGGCGGCGUGCUUAACACAUGCAAGUCGAGCGGAAAGGCCCUUCGGGGUACUCGAGCGGCGAACGGGUGAGUAACACGUGGGUAAUCUGCCCCUAGCUCUGGGAUAGCUCCGGGAAACCGGGAUUAAUACCGGAUAUGACCACUUUAGACAUCUGUUGUGGUGGAAAGAAUUUCGGCUAGGGAUGAGCUCGCGGCCUAUCAGCUUGUUGGUGGGGUAACGGCCUACCAAGGCGACGACGGGUAGCCGGCCUGAGAGGGCGACCGGCCACACUGGGACUGAGACACGGCCCAGACUCCUACGGGAGGCAGCAGUGGGGAAUAUUGCGCAAUGGGCGAAAGCCUGACGCAGCGACGCCGCGUGGGGGAUGAAGGCCUUCGGGUUGCAAACCCCUUUCAGCAGGGACGAAGCGAAAGUGACGGUACCUGCAGAAGAAGCGCCGGCUAACUACGUGCCAGCAGCCGC
rnacentral:rRNA from 1 species